CAACAAAAGCCCUCUACUUUCAGGUUUAUGCCGCCGCGCACUAGAUCCAUUUCUAGAGUAGCAAAACUCUUACUUCCUGAUCCUGUUACCACUGUUUGGUC